rnacentral:rRNA from 1 species
GACGAACGCUGGCGGCGUGCUUAACACAUGCAAGUCGAACGCUGAAGCUCAGCUUUUGUUGGGUGGAUGAGUGGCGAACGGGUGAGUAACACGUGAGUAACCUGCCUCCUUCUUUGGGAUAACGCCCGGAAACGGGUGCUGAUACUGGAUAUUCACUGGUCUUCGCAUGGGGGUUGGUGGAAAGGGUUUUUCUGGUGGGGGAUGGGCUCGCGGCCUAUCAGCUUGUUGGUGGGGUGAUGGCCUACCAAGGCUUUGACGGGUAGCCGGCCUGAGAGGGUGACCGGUCACAGUGGGACUGCGGUACGGCCGAGACUGCGACGGGAGGCAGCAGUGGGGAAGAGUGCGCAAUGGGGGCAAGCCUGAUGCAGCGACGCCGCGGAAGGGAUGGAGGCCUUCGGGUUGUGAACCUCUUUCGCUCAUGGUCAAGCCGCAACAAUGGUUGUGGUGAGGGUAGUGGGUAAAGAAGCGCCGGCUAACUACGUG